rnacentral:rRNA from 1 species
AGUGAACGCUGGCGGUAGGCCUAACACAUGCAAGUCGAACGGCAGCACAGUAAGCGCUUGCUCUUACGGGUGGCGAGUGGCGGACGGGUGAGGAAUACAUCGGAAUCUACUUUUUCGUGGGGGAUAACGUAGGGAAACUUACGCUAAUACCGCAUACGACCUACGGGUGAAAGCAGGGGAUCUUCGGACCUUGCGCGAUUGAAUGAGCCGAUGUCGGAUUAGCUAGUUGGCGGGGUAAAGGCCCACCAAGGCGACGAUCCGUAGCUGGUCUGAGAGGAUGAUCAGCCACACUGGAACUGAGACACGGUCCAGACUCCUACGGGAGGCAGCAGUGGGGAAUAUUGGACAAUGGGCGCAAGCCUGAUCCAGCCAUACCGCGUGGAUGAAGAAGGCCUUCGGGUUGUAAAGCCCUUUUGUUGGGAAAGAAAAGCAGCAGGUUAAUACCCCGCUGUUCUGACGGUACCCAAAGAAUAAGCACCGGCUAACUUCGUG